UGUGGUGUGGUUCAGUGGCAGAGCGCUCGCUUAGCAUGUGCGAAGCCCUGAGUUCGAUCCUCAGCACCACAU
rfam:Ictidomys tridecemlineatus contig017701, whole genome shotgun sequence.